GUGGAGUCUUGCAUUCUCCAUGCACAUGAACCAAUACCCUAACUGGAUGUGCCCCAAAACGCUCUGAUGCAAAUAUGAACCAUGAAGGAAUGCACUUGAAUUCCAGAAUGCUGGAAAUGAAGGAAGUCCAGGAAGAGGAACGAGCAGAGCUGGGGACCAGCUGUAGGGGCAGCCUUCCAACAGGUUUCUCACUUCUCGAAUCCCUGUGGAUGCGACAUUGGGAGGAGACGUGGCACGUCUGCUGUAGACAGAGUUCCUAUCAAGUUCAGCCAUACACAGCUUUCCCUGGAGAGGCAGCAAGCAUCAGAUACUUUUAGACCCAUCCCUGUGCUUACAGGCUUCCAGGGGCUGCAGCAAAGCGGGACUUGCCUCUCUUGGACAUUCACCUCAUUUCUCCAGCUGGCAUAAGCAGGGC